GGGACCCGCACAAGCGGUGGAUGAUGUGGAUUAAUUCGAUGCAACGCGAAGAACCUUACUACCCUUGACAUGUCCGGAACUUGCCAGAGAUGGCUUGGGUGGCCCGAAAGGGAAUCGGAACACAGGUGCUGCAUGGCUGUCGUCAGCUCGUGUCGUGAGAUGUUGGGUUAAGUCCCGCAACGAGCGCAACCCUUAUCAUUAGUUGCUACGCAAGGGCACUCUAAUGAGACUGCCGGUGACAAACCGGAGGAAGGUGGGGAUGACGUCAAGUCCUCAUGGCCCUUAUGGGUAGGGCUUCACACGUCAUACAAUGGUCGGUACAGAGGGUUGCCAAGCCGCGAGGCGGAGCCAAUCCCACAAAGCCGAUCGUAGUCCGGAUUGUUCUCUGCAACUCGAGAGCAUGAAGUCGGAAUCGCUAGUAAUCGCAGGUCAGCAUACUGCGGUGAAUACGUUCCCGGGUCUU
rnacentral:rRNA from 1 species